UUCCCAGCCAAAUUUCGCAAGGGUUUCUUCCAAGUAAAAAUCCCCAAAUCCAUAUCAAUUGGCGGCACAGUCCAAUAGGCCACCACCACUCUUCUCACGCCUCCAUUGCCGUCAACCGCAUCCAAAGCGUUUUCUACUUACUGCUUAUCUGAGAAAUUUUAGUAGGGAAAAGAAAAUUUGGACCUGGAAAAGCUAGUUUAUUUACAUCUCGUCGUAGUCUGAUCUUGUUAUACUUGACGUGAACACAACGGUGAAGGUAAUAUGCACUAAAAUGUCAAUCUUCUUCAAAUUGAUACAUUUUGAGCAUAUUCUUACACUUCUAGACUUACAAUUUAUGUUGAAUUAUGAUAUGAUUUUCCACCAAUUUCUUGCACUCAUAGAAUAUAUAGUUUGCAGAAGGUGGUCAUCUCAAAUGGAAGCCCAUUUGAACUUUGCAAGUUUUUUUAUUUUCAUUAACUUUAUAUAAUCUUCCUAGAAUAAGAUUGAAUUCUGUUGUCCAUGAGUUUAUUAGUCCUACAAAUUGCAAGCAGUUUUCCUAUUUGAGUUAUUAAUUGUUACUUGUACAAGGGAAGUACUUAUUCUACGAAAAAAAUAUGUAUACUAAAUUUGUAUAUGGGAAAAUAUGUAUUCUAGAACCGACCUAUUAUAGUAAAUAAUGCAGAUGUAUUUUGUUGGGGGCUAGUUUCAUGAGAACCAACUAUUUCCACCCUUGUUGCUUUCAGCUUCGUCACAAGAUCCUCAUUUGUUAAAUUCUCUAUUGUAUUUAGGUUGACUAUUAGAAUUUGUUUCAUGAGUUAAUUAUUGCACUAAAUUGGAAGUGUUCAAAAGAAUCUAAUUUUUAGAAUAUCCAUUCCAGUAGCUUAUUCUUUUGUUUUGGUUAACAUUGUUUGUUGUUUUCACUAAAAACUACUAACUAAAUAUUCUCUUUUGUAUGGUCUAUGUGAAUACAGAGAUAUACAUGCUAGAUAGGAGUUGGAUGCAACUUUGUAACAAAUUAAGUGAUCAAUAUUUAGAUGGUGUUAAUUCAAGAGGUAGCAAAACAAUGUUUGGAUGAGAACAACGAGGUUCAGUGUCCAUGUCGAAAUUGUCAAAAUGCAUUUAUGGUAGAAUCUCAUUUAUAUCAUCCCAAAGUCUCUGCAAGUUAUGAGAGAGAUUUUUCAUGGGGUGGAACUUGAGAAUGAUACGGAGGGUGUUGAAAGAAAUACAUCUAAAUUGGAUGAAGCAGAAAAUGAUGAUGAGAUGAUGAUAUGUUAGAAGACCUAUGUGCUGCUAAAGUCAUUUGAAGCUGGCCAAACUCGAGAGGGGGAAGCAUAUGGCAGAAAUCAUAAUUUCUCACAUAUGAUGAUGCAACAAACUCUCUGUGUUGUGAAAUAAAUUUAAUUACAAACAUCACUUGUUUUAUGAUAAACUGUAUUAUAAAUUUUGAAUAUCUUAAAAUAUAUUAUGCAACAUAUCAAAUGCAUUGUAAAUCAUAUUUCGCUACAAAUUUGACUUGUUAUUAAAUA